rnacentral:rRNA from 1 species
AUGCAGGAAGCAUGGCUCCAGGGGAGGAAGGCGAUCAAGCGGACGGGUGUGGAAAAGAAGGCGAUCAGAGAUGUUUGGUCGGAAUCGGGGAGCAAUAAUCAAAGCUGGAACCCUACGGUGGAAGCACUCCGGAAAAUCAUGGAAAGGAUCCACAAGUAUAGGAUGGAUCUGAGGCAAAGGAAAGGGGAUGUAGAUCAAAAGCUGAUCUGCAACGAGAUUGGCUGCCCGCUGAAGGAUGACCCGCCGGACAAGGGGGGAGGAUCCCCAGAUCCGAGUUUGAAGGAAGGAGAUAUCUUGGGAAUCACCAGAUCAUUGGACCUUAGCGCGAUCCCGUUAAUGGAGGGGGCAAAUCACCCUGGCGCAAGUUUAAAAGGAUCGGACCCUGGAGGUCUGUACUCUCAUCUCUUUCCACGCUCAGUCCACAGCUCCCCCUCGACGAUGUCGCCCCAGGACAUGCAGAAGAACAAGGCCGCCAUGGAGGGAGGGAAUGAUGCCAACUGCUCUGGCGACGGCCGGAACAUCUCAAGGGUGCUUCUCCGCGGGGAGUCGUCCCGCGGUCAUGGAGGGAAGGCCAACAUGAGGAGGCUCUACACCGGCAAUGAUGUUGUUGCCCCAAGGUUCCCAGUCAAUCUGGGGACCAAGGUCGACGAUGUGGUCGAACUCGACCUGACGAAGGAAUGCGCUGCCAUGAGGAAUCGUUGGAUCGCUGUGGGGCUCUUCUUCUCCACCCUGCCCUACAGCAACGAGGGUCUCUUCGGUGAGCUCAAGAGCAAUGCUAGGCCGGGGGACGUGGAGGUUGCCCAUAUGCCAAUAUGGGUGCGCAUCCACGACGUCCCGCCCAUCAUGCUGGAUGAAAGUGUGGCCUGGAAGCUGGGAUCCUUGCUAGGGGAGGUCCUUGAGGUGGACACCAACAUCCAUGGUAAGCUGUGGGGAGACUUCAUAAGAGUCCGGGUGAAUCAUGAUGUUGAUGAACCCCUCCGCAACAAGAUCACGUCCCAUGAUAAGCCAAAAAAUGAACUGUUCUUCUUAGAGGUGAAAUAUGAGAGAGUACCUAGGUUCUGUGGUUUUUGUGGCUUCCUUGGGCAUGGCCAACGUGAUUGUAAGUUGCCGGUGGACCUCCAAGAGAUGAGGUACACGGCAACAAUGCGCGCCUCCCCUUUCAAUAAGAGCAGUAGUAGGGGAGGGUACGUUGCCCCGGUGGUGGGCAGUGCUCGUCGUAUCCUUAGCUUUGGGAAAGAGGUGCAUCGAGAGUCAGGCUCUAGCUGGAUGAAGGCAGAAUAUGCGAGGAUAUCGGAGGAGACCCUGUCGAACCAUCAGGAGAAGCUUGAUCUGAAGUCCUUGGGUGCCCCUGAAGCUCUCAAGGAACCAGGUGCUGAACAUGGCGUGGCGCAAACCCUCACAGGCAAUGAGAAGCCCGCAGCACAUGAUCACACCCACGUUGCUGAAACGGUGCAGGGUGGAGUCGUCGUUGAGAUGGUCAAACCAGAGGUGCUACCCCUGGUCAGCGCCGCGGGUCUGGGAGGGGCCCGGGAUGCUUCUACUGAGGCGAUGGAUGACCCAGAGUUUCCCCCAGGCUUUGGACCGUUCCCGCGCUUCAAGAAUCAGAUGAUGGCGUGCCUGCCUCAGAAUGUGGCUACGGACGUGGCUAUAGGUGCUAGAGAGGGAACUGCUCUCCCUCCAAAGAAGAGGACCCUGAAAACAGCAAGGGGCGGCAAGAUCACAUCUGGCCAAGGCAAUUCGGUGCUGGGCAAAAGAGGUGGGUGUGAGGAGGGGGAAAUAGAAGGCAUGGUAAAGUCAGGGACAGAGGCCCGGGUUGGACUUACAGCAAUAAACAGAGCGGCAGGAAGUGUGUUCGUGCAAGGCUUGACAGACCACCUACCCAUUCUUCUCCGAUUGGGGAGCAGGAAAGAAUGGAGGCCGGUUGGAGUGAAAAGAAACGACAUGUUCAGGUAUGAACAGAUGUGGGAAAGGGUGGAUUCCUUGAAGGUAACUAUAGACACAACGUGGAGCAAGGAUGGCCCUGCUUCAAAUCUACAUGAAGUUGGGGCAAAACUAAAACGGAUGCAGGCGGAGCUGCAGGGCUGGGCUGUCCGAGAUUUUGGUUCAGUAAUAAAACAGUCGGCAGAGAUAAGGAAGAAGUUAAGCAAGAUAUGGAACCAACCUUCGACUGAUCAUUCAAGGCAGGAGGAGAGCAGGCUGUCGCGGGAAUUAGAUGAGUUGCUGCUGAGGGAGGAACUAAUGUGGAGGCAGCGAUCUCGAGCUACAUACAUUAAAGAGGGUGACAAAAAUACGAAAUGGUUCCAACAGAGAGCUACGUGGAGAAAGAAGAAAAACACCAUUGUGAAAUUAAAAGAUGAGAAGGGAACCUGGGUGGAGGACGCUCGCAAAGUUCAGGAAAUGACCAACAAUUUUUUCAAGGAACUAUACGCAAGUGAUGAGGAAGUGGACCCAAAAGAGAUUCUGAACCUAAUCACCGAGAGAGUAAACAGCAACAUGAACGAGGCAUUGACAAAACCAUUCUCUGUGGUGGAAGUCAGCGACGCCUUGUUCCAAGUUGGGCCGCUAAAAGCGCCAGGGCCCGACGGCUUCCUGGCACGGUUCUUUCAAAAGAAUUGGGAGGUUAUGUGGGAGGAUAUAGUGCUGGCAGUAAGAGAGUUUUUUGACAAGGGCAUCAUGCCGGAAGGGAUAAACGACACAACGAUAGUCCUCAUCCCUAAAGGAAACGACCCGCAAUCUCUUAAGGACUAUAGACCGAUAAGCCUCUGUAACGUCAUCUACAAAGUGAUCUCAAAGUGUCUUGUGAACCGCCUUCGGCCUCUGCUGGAUGGAAUCAUCUCAGAAACCCAGAGUGCGUUUAUUCCCGGAAGGUUAAUCACGGACAAUGCCAUCAUUGCGUUUGAGUGCUUCCACAAGAUACAACGCUGCAAGAAUGCAAGGGACAAUUACUGUGCAUACAAAUUGGACCUUGCGAAGGCAUAUGAUAGAGUUGAUUGGGGCUGUUUGGAAGGACUCUUGAGGAAAUAUGGUUUUUGCAAAAAAUGGACCGGAUGGGUUAUGAAGUGUGUUAAAUCUGUGAGGUACUCUGUUAGAUGCAACGGAGAAUCGCUUGAACCUUUCAUCCCGUCCAGGGGGCUAAGGCAAGGGGACCCCCUUAGCCCGUACCUUUUCUUGUUUAUUGCAGAUGGACUGGUUCACCUUUUGAGGAAGGAGAUGAUAGAAAAUAAGCUGACUCCUAUCAAAAUCGCUAGAAAUAGCCCGGGCAUAUCCAACCUAUUGUUUGCUGACGAUAGCCUAAUUUUUUUCAAAGCCGCACCAGAGCAAGCCGAGGCUAUAAAAAGAGUCCUAACCACAUUCCAGAGGUGCACGGGUCAACUCCUAAGUACCAACAAAUGCUCCAUUCUAUUCAGUGAAGUAUGCCCUUUGGAAACAAGGGAAGAGAUUAAAAGCAUCCUUCAAGUGACUGCAGACACGUUUGAGAGAAAAUACCUAGGGCUUCCCACACCAGAAGGUAGGAUGAAAGACAAGCAAUUUCAACCGAUCAUGGACAGGUUCCGGAAGAGAUGUAGUGAUUGGUCGGAAAAAUUCAUGUCGUAUGCUGCUAAAGAGGUACAUGUGAAAUCAGUGGUGCAGGCUCUUCCAACUUUCGUCAUGAGUGUCUUCAUGCUCUCCAAAGGUUUUUGUGAGAAGUAUGAAAGGAUGAUUAGAGAUUUCUGGUGGGGAGACGAAGAAGGACACCGAAAGCGGGGGCUGAGGAGGGACCUGGAAGCAAAGACAAGGAAGGUGGGAGAGAAAUCAGAGAGCAAAACACUGAAAUUGCUGCCAACCACUGGAGGGCCAGAGCAAGGAACUAUCAAAAUCAAUAUUGACGCUGCUUUUCUUGCGGGAACUGAAGAAAGUGCGGCGGGAGUGGUUGGACGGGAUUCCCAAGGCCUUGUCCUCAUUUCCGUCUGCAAAAAACUUCCUAGCUGUCAGAACGCUGAGGAGGCCGAGGCUCGUGCCGCCCUUGUUGGACUGCAGGCAGUGGCUGGAGUGUACAAGGGCCAGAUAAUCCUUGAAAUGGAUAAUCAAAACAUUGCAAAUGAACUGAGAUCCCAAGGACAGACAAGGUCACCUAAUUACAGCCUAAUCAUGGACAUUAGGCAUGCCAUCGAUGGCUUUGAGGAUUGCAAGAUCAGCUGCGUAAAGAGACAAUGCAACUCCCUGGCCCAUGGCCUUGCUGCACUUACAAGGAGCUCAGGCGAUCAGGAGAUGAUAGCUAAUGCGCCUGGCAUUGUAGAUGCCCUCAAGUGGCUUGGGUACUCGCCGGUCGCCGCCGAGCAGAGAGAAUCCAAAGAAGGCUGCCGGGGCAUCUGCCGGAGCGAGGCCACGGUCCCCCCGCUGCCGUGGGCCGGUGCACUCGAGGCUUCGCUUCCCCACCCGCCUCCCCUGCCGGCCGCCGGCGUCGCAGCCGGUCCCGGCCAUGGAUCGCGGGGCGCACCUCCUCGACCACUCCCGCCGGGCUCGGGCAAGCCACAAGGUGGUGAUCUCCACCCCGGCCAUCGAGCACUAGGAGUUCCUCCUCCGGAAGUGCCGUCCUCCUCUUGGCGGCCACGCCGAGGCAUGCGGCCAGCCCCCUAUCCAUCGGCGGCGCCAUCGAGGAGCAGCUGCGCAUCCCCCCACCUGCUGCGCGUAACUAGGCACAACCCCGAAGAUUUCUUCGUCUACUUCGAGCUCCCGACGCACCAUGAGAACGCAGUCCGCGCCAGCUCCAUCACCGUCGACGACGUCGCCUUCACCGUCAAGCCCUGGCAUGAGGAAGACCACAUCGUGCACCAAGAUUUCACGCUCCACAUCCGCGUGUCAUCGAGAAGGUCCCCAUGCAGCUCUGGUCCCGGGAGGGCGCAACGGAGAUCAUCGGCGACAAGUGCAUCGUCGAUCACCUCGACACCCACACCCACGAGCGAGGUCACAGCAAGACCUUUGCUUGCUGGGUGUGGGUCUGGGACGUCACCAACAUCCCCACCAGGCGCAUCAUCUGGCGCGCGAAGUGCAGCGCUGGGCGCGUUGAGGCCAUGCUCGGCUACUCACCGCCGAGAAGAGAGGAGGCAGCCACAAGCGGUGGCUUCCUUCGGCUGCCACGACCUGCAGCUGGGCAGGCGCUGCGACCCCGACGACCGUGAUGGCAACCAGGGCGGUCACCACUCCUGGAAGGACAUGCUGCUGGGCUGCCACUCCAGCCGCACGGUGACGACAUCGAAGGAUCCUGCCCAGCCGCCACGUCACCGUAGUAGGACGCCGGUGAGCCGUCGCCGAGACAAGGGCAGCCGCAGCCAGGGGGCGGCCUUGCGGGUCACCCCUCCCCUGCCCCUGCGCCGCCCGCCGUCCUCCUCCUCUUCGCCACCUCCACCCCCACUAUCGCCUCCCGCUGCGAUCCGGCAGGCCCAGGAUCCCGUCGCCGACUUCUUUUGCAAUGGAGAUGUUUUGCUUCUACCGCCCCCACGUGUUGACCAAGGCCAGCUGGAGUUGGAGGAGACCAUCACCGAUGCCCUUGCGGUCCCACUGGAGUUCGAGGAGGGGCCGAUCAACGCUCUCCAGCUGGGGGGAGAGGUGCAGCAGCUACAGAUUGGCCAUGAUGGCUCGGCGGUGGCUCUGCUCUUCCGCGACACACCAGCACCCCUCCUCUCCGACGCGCCAGCGCCUCGCCGUCCAUCCGCCCCUCUCAAGUCACGCGCCACUUCUACACUGUCCAGGCGGAGUGCUAGGCAGGCGGCCAACCCCUCCACCCCUCUGGUCUGGCAGCGUGCAUCGCUCCGCCUGGUCCAGGAGUUCGGCAUCCUGGGCCCAAAGGAGCACAUGACGGUGGCGGCGGUAGAGGCGCUGUUGCAUCGUUUCGACAAGCCGCUGACGGAGGACGACAUCACCUGCAUCGCCAAGCUCACCCGCCUCAACAUCGAUGUUCUGCGCACCAUGGCUGGCCUUGUCGGCCCGGAAGGAGACGCCCAAGAGUAGGUGAUCCCCGCCCCCCUUCUCUUCAUCCUAGCGAUCGACCCCCUCCACCGGCUCUUGGAGGCCGCCACUCGCUCUGGCGCCCUGGCACCCCUUCCGGCAAGAGCUGCGCGCCUCCGGGUCAUGCUAUACGCUGACGACGCUGUCAUCUUCGUGAACUCGACGUGCCCAGAGACCGACACGAUCAUGCAGAUCCUUGCGGGCUUCAGGGAGGCGACAGACCUGAGGAUGAACCCUCAGAAAUCAUCGGCGGCUCCCAUCCGUUGCAAGGGCAUCGACCUCGGGCAUGUGCUCCAGGGCUUCGGCGACAGCCUCGUGUCCUUCCCCAUAAAGUAUCUAGGUCUCCUCGUCUGCAUAGCUAGGGUUAGGCUAGUUGACCUGCAAUACAUUUUAGACCAUAUCCGUGCAAGGCUGGCAGGCUGGAAAGGGUGGCUGCUGCCAAUAGCAGGCCGUCGGGUGCUGGUGCGGUGCGUGCUCUUGGGUCUGCCUGCAUUCGCACUCGUGGUGUUGUGCGCCCCAAAGAAGCUGUUCAAGGAGAUCGACAAGGUGAUGCGGUGCUUCCUAUGGGCGCAGGACGAAGAAAUCACUGGAGGCAAAUGCAAGGUCAACUGGCAGCUCGUCACCUCAUCGACCGAUCGCGAGGGCCUGGGCAUCCCAGACUUGCAGCAAUUCACGCGGGCUCUGCGCCUUCGCUGGCUGUGUAUGGAGUGGAAGCACCCGAAACGGUCGUGGGUGGGCACGGGCUCCCCCUGCGAUGACAAGGACCGGGCUCUUUUCAUUGCUGCAACCACAGUCUGCAUCGGCAACGGCAAGAGACCUCGUUCUGGAGCUACACCUGGCUCGGAAAUCAACCUCUCCAAGCAAGGUUCCCAGCGCUGUUCAAGCACUCAAUCAGGAAGAACCAUAUGGUGUCAGACGCACUCAACGACGGCCAACAUCGUGCUGAACGAGGAUGUAGAGGAUGAGAUAUCCAAGAGAGCUGCCAGCCAAUAUAUGGCGCAGGACGCCUAG